GAUGAACGCUGGCGGCGUGCCUAAUACAUGCAAGUCGAGCGAACGGACGAGAAGCUUGCUUCUCUGAUGUUAGCGGCGGACGGGUGAGUAACACGUGGAUAACCUACCUAUAACACUGGGAUAACUUCGGGAAACCGUAGCUAAUACCGGAUAAUAUUUUGAACCGCAUGGUUCAAAAGUGAAAGACGGUCUUGCUGUCACUUAUAGAUGGAUCCGCGCUGCAUUAGCUAGUUGGUAAGGUAACGGCUUACCAAGGCAACGAUGCAUAGCCGACCUGAGAGGGUGAUCGGCCACACUGGAACUGAGACACGGUCCAGACUCCUACGGGAGGCAGCAGUAGGGAAUCUUCCGCAAUGGGCGAAAGCCUGACGGAGCAACGCCGCGUGAGUGAUGAAGGUCUUCGGAUCGUAAAACUCUGUUAUUAGUGAAGAACAUAUGUGUAAGUAACUGUGCACAUCUUGACGGUACCUAAUCAGAAAGCCACGGCUAACUACGUG
rnacentral:rRNA from 1 species